GACCACUCCGGUGGCCUAAGUUGUUAGAGCGUCCGCCCCGGAAUCGGGACGCCGUGGGUUCAAACCCCGGCCGAGUCA